AUUAUCACUGUUGGUACUGAUCAGACAACUAGACUUUUUGCUCCAUGGAAGAGAAAAGACCAAUCACAGGUGACUUGGCAUGAAAUUGCAAGGCCUCAGAUACAUGGGUAUGACCUGAAAUGUUUGGCAAUGAUUAAUCGGUUUCAGUUUGUAUCUGGAGCAGAUGAAAAAGUUCUUCGGGUUUUUUCUGCACCUCGGAAUUUUGUGGAAAAUUUUUGUGCCAUUACAGGACAAUCACUGAAUCAUGUGCUCUGUAAUCAAGAUAGUGAUCUUCCAGAAGGAGCCACUGUCCCUGCGUUGGGAUUAUCAAAUAAAGCUGUCUUUCAGGGAGAUAUAGCUUCUCAGCCUUCUGAUGAAGAGGAGCUGUUAACUAGUACUGGUUUUGAGUAUCAGCAGGUGGCCUUUCAGCCCUCCAUACUUACUGAUAUGGGCAUGGUUAUGAAAUAUUUUGUGUUACUUGUAACAGUUCAAAGACUCUGCUUGCCUCAGCUUGUAAGGCAGCUAAGAAAGAGCAUGCAGCUAUCAUUCUUUGGAACACUACAUCUUGGAAACAGGUGCAGAAUUUAGUUUUCCACAGUUUGACAGUCACGCAGAUGGCCUUCUCACCUAAUGAGAAGUUCUUACUAGCUGUUUCCAGAGAUCGAACCUGGUCAUUGUGGAAAAAGCAGGAUACAAUCUCACCUGAGUUCG
rnacentral:sRNA from 1 species